UGAUGUUCUAACGUUGGCCCCUGACCGGGGUUGCGGACAGUGUCUGGUGGGUAGUUUGACUGGGGCGGUCUCCUCCCAAAGCGUAACGGAGGAGCACGAAGGUUAGCUAAUCCUGGUCGGACAUCAGGAGGUUAGUGCAAUGGCAUAAGCUAGCUUGACUGCGAGCGUGACGGCGCGAGCAGGUGCGAAAGCAGGUCAUAGUGAUCCGGUGGUUCUGAAUGGAAGGGCCAUCGCUCAACGGAUAAAAGGUACUCCGGGGAUAACAGGCUGAUACCGCCCAAGAGUUCAUAUCGACGGCGGUGUUUGGCACCUCGAUGUCGGCUCAUCACAUCCUGGGGCUGAAGUAGGUCCCAAGGGUAUGGCUGUUCGCCAUUUAAAGUGGUACGCGAGCUGGGUUUAGAACGUCGUGAGACAGUUCGGUCCCUAUCUGCCGUGGGCGCUGGAGAAUUGAGGGGGGCUGCUCCUAGUACGAGAGGACCGGAGUGGACGCAUCACUGGUGUUCGGGUUGUCAUGCCAAUGGCACUGCCCGGUAGCUAAAUGCGGAAGAGAUAAGUGCUGAAAGCAUCUAAGCACGAAACUUGCCCCGAGAUGAGUUCUCCCUGAGACUUUAAGUCUCCUGAAGGAACGUUGAAGACGACGACGUUGAUAGGCCGGGUGUGUAAGCGCAGCGAUGCGUUGAGCUAACCGGUACUAAUGAACCGUGAGGCUUAACCUU
rnacentral:ncRNA from 1 species